rnacentral:rRNA from 1 species
UACAGAGGGGCAAGCGUUAUUCGGAAUUAUUGGGCGUAAAGGGCGCGUAGGCGGCUUGGCAAGUGGAAGGUGAAAUUCCCCGGUCGUAAACCGAGGAACUGCCCCUCCAAACUGCCUUCGCUUGAGACCGGGAGAGGUGAGUGGAAGUUCCCGAGUGUAGCGGUGAAAUGCGUAGAUAUUGGGAGGAACACCAGUGGCGAAGGCGGCUCACUGGACCGGUACUGACGCUGAUGCGCGAAAGCGUGGGGAGCAAACGGG